UCAGAACGAACGCUGGCGGCAGGCCUAACACAUGCAAGUCGAGCGCUACCUUCGGGUGGAGCGGCGGACGGGUUAGUAACGCGUGGGAACAUACCCUUUUCUACGGAAUAGCCUCGGGAAACUGAGAGUAAUACCGUAUAAGCCCUUCGGGGGAAAGAUUUAUCGGGAAAGGAUUGGCCCGCGUUAGAUUAGAUAGUUGGUGGGGUAAUGGCCUACCAAGUCUACGAUCUAUAGCUGGUUUUAGAGGAUGAUCAGCAACACUGGGACUGAGACACGGCCCAGACUCCUACGGGAGGCAGCAGUGGGGAAUCUUAGACAAUGGGCGAAAGCCUGAUCUAGCCAUGCCGCGUGAGUGAUGAAGGUCUUAGGAUCGUAAAGCUCUUUCGCUAGGGAUGAUAAUGACAGUACCUAGUAAAGAAGCCCCGGCUAACUCCGUGCCAGCAGCCGCGGUAAUACGGAGGGGGCUAGCGUUGUUCGGAAUUACUGGGCGUAAAGCGUACGUAGGCGGAUCAGAAAGUAUGGGGUGAAAUCCCAGGGCUUAACCCUGGAACUGCCUCAUAAACUCCUGGUCUUGAGUUCGAGAGAGGUGAGUGGAAUUGCGAGUGUAGAGGUGAAAUUCGUAGAUAUUCGCAGGAACACCAGUGGCGAAGGCGGCUCACUGGCUCGAUACUGACGCUGAGGUACGAAAGUGUGGGGAGCAAACAGGAUUAGAUACCCUGGUAGUCCACACCGUAAACGAUGAAUGCCAGUCGUCGGGCAGUAUACUGUUCGGUGACACACCUAACGGAUUAAGCAUCC
rnacentral:rRNA from 1 species